rnacentral:rRNA from 1 species
GAUGAACGCUGGCGGCGUGCCUAAUACAUGCAAGUCGAGCGAACAGACGAGGAGCUUGCUCCUCUGACGUUAGCGGCGGACGGGUGAGUAACACGUGGAUAACCUACCUAUAAGACUGGGAUAACUUCGGGAAACCGGAGCUAAUACCGGAUAAUAUAUUGAACCGCAUGGUUCAAUAGUGAAAGACGGUUUUGCUGUCACUUAUAGAUGGAUCCGCGCCGCAUUAGCUAGUUGGUAAGGUAACGGCUUACCAAGGCGACGAUGCGUAGCCGACCUGAGAGGGUGAUCGGCCACUCUGGAAGUGAGACAGGGUCCAGACUCCUACGGGAGGCAGCAGUAGGGAAUCUUACGCAAUGGGCGAAAGCCUGACGGAGCAACGCCGCGUGAGUGAUGAAGGUCUUCGGAUCGUAAAACUCUGUUAUUAGGGAAGAACAAAUGUGUAAGUAACUAUGCACGUAUUGACGGUACCUAAUCAGAAAGCCACGGCUAACUACGUG